rnacentral:rRNA from 1 species
GACGAACGCUGGCGGCGUGCCUAAUACAUGCAAGUCGAACGCAGUGGGGACGGGUGAGUAACCCGUGGGUAACCUCCCCAUCAGCUGUGAUAACACUUGGUAACAGGUGCUAAACUGAUACUUAUGGAUGGACCCGCGGUUCAUUAGCUAGUUGGUGAGGUAACGGCUCACCAAGGCCACGAUGCAUAGCCGACCUAGGAGGGUGAGCGGCCACACGGGGACUGAGACACGGCCCAGACUCCUACGGGAGGCAGCAGUAGGGAAUCUUCGGCAAUGGACGAAAGUCGGACCGAGCAACGCCGCGUGAGUGAAGAGGGUUUUCGGAUCGUAAAACUCUGUUGUUAGAGAAGCGGUAUCUAACCAGAAAGCCACGGCUAACUACGUGCCAGCAGCCGCGGUAAUAC